ACUAUUCAGAGGAAUAGUCAAAGCUUUCGAGCUUCUACGUGAAAAUUUCGAACAUAUCGAUUUGUCAUUGGCUCAUCGUCAUCAGGUGGGAGUCAUUUUUACGCAUGUGCAAGGAUGUAAGGUCAGCAUCUUGCUUCUAAGUUGGAUGUAGGGCAUAGGAUUGUAUACAUACAGCAUCAAUCAUUUUUAUCGUUUGAAUUUGAGACAUAUACUAUACCACUACUGGUGGUAACAUCAACUACAUGACACUGACAACUGGUAAACUUAAAUCCGCAGCACCUUACACUUCAUAAUAUUCCUAAUCUUUUUAAGAAUGAGUACAUCGUUCAAACGCAGCAACCCGACUAGAGUGAAUUCAGCGGUGGUUCAGCUAUUCUCGAAGAAAUAGAUGGUUCCGUGGCAUUUGAUGCAUGUAUAAAUAUAUACAGUUUGAGCUUGUGGGGAAUACAGUUACGUUUAAAAAUAAAUAUGCGAGAAAUGUCGAAUUCUAGUCUCUAUUCACGUAAUUAGGUCAAGAAUUAUAAUAUUACCCUAUCGCGAUAUUAACGAAUACUAAAAUCCUCUACAACUUCAUAUCUUGCAUAUCCUAGCAAGUGAAAAAUUGCUCCUUUUCUCCACUUCUGCGCCAUCUGUUCAUAGUCAUCACAACAUACGGUCGAGAGGAUAAAGCAGUUACAAGCGCUAACUGUUUUAAUUAAUUGUUUCAGUGAAAAUGUAUUUAGAACUCAAUAAUAAUAACAUAAUUAAAUUAAUAAUAUUAACAAUAAGAAACUUCUAUUACUAUAUAAGUAUUAUCUAGUAAUAUCUGAAUUAAAAAUUGUAUGUGAAAUAAAACGAUGAGUAUUUCUGAAUAAUA